ACCUAUGGUCAUACUACCCUGAACAAGUCCGAUCUCAUCUGAUCUCGGAACCUAAGUAGGGUUAGGCCUAGUUAGUACUUGGAUGGGAGACCACCUGGGAAUACCUGGUGCCGUAGGCU